GACAGAGGUCCCGAGCGUUAGGCGGAAUCACUGGGCUUAAAGCGUGUGUAGGCGGAUGCCUAAGUACCUUGUGAAGUCCCACGGCUCACCCGUGGAACUGCUUGGUAUACUGGGUGUCUUGAGCCACUUAGGGGCUACCGGAACAAAUGGUGGAGCGGUGAAAUGCGUAGAUAUCAUUUGGAACGCCAAUGGUGAAAACAGGUAGCUGGGAGUGUGCUGACGCUGAGACACGAAAGCCAGGGGAGCAAACGGG
rnacentral:rRNA from 1 species